AAAAUGGGAAUAUAAUUACAGCAACCUCAUCAAUUUAGUUUAUUUUGUAUCAAAUGAACAAAAAUUAGCAGGCUGUAUCAAAAGUAAAUAUACAAGAACUCCUCAGGCAGAACUUAUAAACAUCACUGGGACUCAAGAAUCAUCCUGCCUGCUGUGUGUAUUUGCUCAGCAACCCAUAACUAGUUCAAAUCUACGCAUUAUAAAUCUGAGAAAAAACAACGAAGAGAUUCCUGCCAUUUUCCAGUAACAUAGUGAAGAAA
rnacentral:misc_RNA from 1 species